CAGGUUUUGAAAAAAAUAUUGACUUUGACCCAUCUCCAUCAACCCAGCGGAAAAAUGGGGUUGAGAAAAGGAAAAAAAGGAAGCCUGCCCUGUUGCCUCCAAGGAUGAACCUGUUCUGUGGGUCAGGAUCCAUUCCAAGAGCUGCCCAGUUGUCAAGUGUGACAUGACAGGAUAGAGAUGAAGAUAUUCACAGGAGGUCGUGCCUUCCAUUUCUGUGGAGCCUCCACUCCCAAGGAAGAAGAUGGAAAAGACUGAAGCUUUUACCACACAGGCCUGAGUGUUGCAUGCUUCUGCUACAGAGGAGGUCCAUGAGAUUUUGUUACAAUGUGGGCCAGCCCUUUUUAUUUAUCACUGGCUUCUUAAGGCUAAAGACUGCACUCCUUCACAGUCCUGUACACCUUCCAUCUGUGGAUCUCAACACAUGCUAUAUUCCUCAGUUGGUCCUCCAGGCCUCCUGUGAGAGGCCACGAUUGCUGUUUCCAUUUGGAAGAGGAAGAAGCCAAGACCCAACCAAGGUUUUAGUUGAUUUGCCCACAAAGAAAUGAAAAUGGGUGAAGCCUCAGUCUUCUGCUUUGUCUCUUAGAAAACGUUCUGAAUCGGAUCCAAGCAUGGCCCUUUGGACCCCCCAUAUCUGACCCAACUGUUCUCCAUGAUAUCAGGAACCCUCUGCAGUUUGAACCAACUGCUGUGCUUUCUUCUGCUGGCUUUCUUGCGGUCCUGCUAGCUGGGUGCUGGGAGAGGAAUGAGAGAAGCUGGCUGCUCAGCCAAACAGGAAUUCAGAGGAGAAGCUCUCUCUGGAAUGCUGUGGCCCAUGUUAACCAGUUCCAGAUUUACACAGCUCACGUCACUGCCUGAAAUGAGAAAUGGGCCUUGCUUAACCAUGGCAAAACAUAGCAACGGCACGGCAGUGCUGGCUGCAGCACAAAAACCAGUUUUUCAGGCUGUCUCAGGCUUCACAGCAGAGUAGGAGGCAAGGUUUCUGGGAACUGGGAGCUGGCUUAUGGUAAUGCCACCUCCACUAUGAGGUUGGGAUGAAAGCCCCAAACUCUUCUUGGUCUGGAGGGUCACAGACACUGGCGAGCUGGUACCUGUCCAUGGUACAGGGGGUGCACCAUAGAGCCUAAUGCAGUCUGCCUGGGGAUAGGGAAGGCCAGGGAUGGGGGUAGUGGAUCCACCAGAGGCUCUGUCUUCUGGGACAGGGGGCAGGAACAUUGUAUGGCAAGCCAAGGUUUUCAGUGCUGCUCCAUGGUCCAGAUCAUGCUGCACCACACAGGCAUGGCUUGUGAGUAGGGUGUUAGUCUCUGAACCUAGGAUUUUUGGACAUUCAAGGCAUCUCCUGUGCCUUUUAGGGGCUUGGAUGGGCCAAGGAGGGGUUACUUCUUGCCUAAACAAAAGGUCCUCCUUCAGCAUUUUGGACAGGGGAUUUUUAUGCUGUGUGAGCUGCUUGAUUGGGCUUGACAGAAUCAAGUCCCUGUGAGCAGUGGGGGUGUGGCAAUUUAGACCUGUAUGUUACAGUGGUACCUAACUCCAUAAUAGGCCAAAUCAAACUGGAGCUUAAUAUCCGGGACUGAGGAAGGUCAAAUGUGGAUGGUCCAGGCCCAUUUCCAAAGUGAGUACAGGCAGGUGACUUUUACUCUCACCCCUUCAACCACAUGUAAAAUGGCACUCAUCCAAGCCAGCCUCGAGAUUCAGCUGUAGGUUGCCAAGGUUCCGCACAUGAGUGAAGCUUAGAGAGAGGCAAAGGACCCCUUACCCUAUCCAGCCUGGCUUGAUCUGUGUGACUAGCUACCCUCCAGAAUGAGGAUGAGUUACCAGUCCAUCUCAUGAAGCAGUCCUUCAGGACUUAGUUCCUGUGAAUCUGGGGAAGGAAUUGGGACAACAGAGCAAGUGUUUACAGUUGUUUUGAGAGAUGAAGGACUGAGAGGAGGAGGAGGGCAUAUCAGGAAAUCCAAACCACCAGAAUGCAUCUUAUCAGUCUGGAAUUCUCUGCCUCCAUCAGGGAUAUUGAGGGUAUGCAACAUAGUGCGCCAUUCCAACCCACUGCGCAGUGUUGUACAGGGCAGGGAGAAGUUUUGAGAGAUCCUGGACUGUGGAUGCCCAGCCUCAGGAGCUGUGGUUGUCACCAUCAUGGCUUCAAAUGUUAUUAUUAGUUAUAGAAAGAGAUAUUACUUU